rnacentral:piRNA from 1 species
UCCAGAGCUGAGCUUUAUCACAGAGGUC